rnacentral:rRNA from 1 species
UUAGUGGAAGCGUCUGGAAAGGCGCGCGAUACAGGGUGACAGCCCCGUACACAAAAGCGCAUGUGCUGUGAGCUCGAUGAGUAGGGCGGGACACGUGGUAUCCUGUCUGAAUAUGGGGGGACCAUCCUCCAAGGCUAAAUACUCCUGACUGACCGAUAGUGAACCAGUACCGUGAGGGAAAGGCGAAAAGAACCCCGGCGAGGGGAGUGAAAAAGAACCUGAAACCGUGUACGUACAAGCAGUGGGAGCCCCACCACCAAAGCAUUCUCUGGUGUUGAAGGCCCUGCAAAGCAGCAUCGCGGUGGCGGAGCGUCGUUUGCGACGCCCAACACACAAAACAAGCGGUGAGUGCUUUGGGGUGGGGUGACUGCGUACCUUUUGUAUAAUGGGUCAGCGACUUAUAUUCUGUAGCAAGGUUAACCGAAUAGGGGAGCCGGAGGGAAACCGAGUCUUAAUUGGGCGUUAAGUUGCAGGGUAUAGACCCGAAACCCGGUGAUCUAGCCAUGGGCAGGUUGAAGGUUGGGUAACACUAACUGGAGGACCGAACCGACUAAUGUUGAAAAAUUAGCGGAUGACCUGUGGCUGGGGGUGAAAGGCCAAUCAAACCGGGAGAUAGCUGGUUCUCCCCGAAAGCUAUUUAGGUAGCGCCUCGUGAAUUCAUCUCCGGGGGUAGAGCACUGUUUCGGCUAGGGGGCCAUCCCGGCUUACCAACCCGAUGCAAACUGCGAAUACCGGAGAAUGUUAUCACGGGAGACACACGGCGGGUGCUAACGUCCGUCGUGAAGAGGGAAACAACCCAGACCGCCAGCUAAGGUCCCAAAGUCAUGGUUAAGUGGGAAACGAUGUGGGAAGGCCCAGACAGCCAGGAUGUUGGCUUAGAAGCAGCCAUCAUUUAAAGAAAGCGUAAUAGCUCACUGGUCGAGUCGGCCUGCGCGGAAGAUGUAACGGGGCUAAACCAU